GGCCCAGAUUCCUACGGGAGGCAGCAGUGGGGAAUAUUGCACAAUGGGCGCAAGCCUGAUGCAGCAACGCCGCUUGAGGGACGACGGCCUUCGGGUUGUAAACCUCUUUUAGCAGGGAAGAAGCGAAAGUGACGGUACCUGCAGAAAAAGCGCCGGCUAACUACGUGCCAGCAGCCGCGGUAAUACGUAGGGCGCAAGCGUUAUCCGGAAUUAUUGGGCGUAAAGAGCUCGUAGGCGGUUUGUCGCGUCUGCUGUGAAAUCCCGAGGCUCAACCUCGGGUCUGCAGUGGGUACGGGCAGACUAGAGUGCGGUAGGGGAGAUUGGAAUUCCUGGUGUAGCGGUGGAAUGCGCAGAUAUCAGGAGGAACACCGAUGGCGAAGGCAGAUCUCUGGGCCGUAACUGACGCUGAGGAGCGAAAGGGUGGGGAGCAAACAGGCUUAGAUACCCUGGUAGUCCACCCCGUAAACGUUGGGAACUAGUUGUGGGGUCCAUUCCACGGAUUCCGUGACGCAGCUAACGCAUUAAGUUCCCCGCCUGGGGAGUACGGCCGCAAGGCUAAAACUCAAAGGAAUUGACGGGGACCCGCACAAGCGGCGGAGCAUGCGGAUUAAUUCGAUGCAACGCGAAGAACCUUACCAAGGCUUGACAUAUACGAGAACGGGCCAGAAAUGGUCAACUCUUUGGACACUCGUAAACAGGUGGUGCAUGGNUGUCGUCAGCUCGUGUCGUGAGAUGUUGGGUUAAGUCCCGCAACGAGCGCAACCCUCGUUCUAUGUUGCCAGCACGUAAUGGUGGGAACUCAUGGGAUACUGCCGGGGUCAACUCGGAGGAAGGUGGGGAUGACGUCAAAUCAUCAUGCCCCUUAUGUCUUGGGCUUCACGCNUGCUACAAUGGCCGGUACAAAGGGCUGCAAUACCGUAAGGUGGAGCGAAUCCCAAAAAGCCGGUCCCAGUUCGGAUUGAGGUCUGCAACUCGACCUCAUGAAGUCGGAGUCGCUAGUAAUCGCAGAUCAGCAACGCUGCGGUGAAUACGUUCCCGGGUCUUGUACACACCGCCCGUCAAGUCAUGAAAGUCGGUAACACCUGAAGCCGGUGGCCCAACCC
rnacentral:rRNA from 1 species